rnacentral:rRNA from 1 species
AACGAACGCUGGCGGCAUGCCUAACACAUGCAAGUCGAACGAGACCUUCGGGUCUAGUGGCGCACGGGUGCGUAACGCGUGGGAACCUGCCCUUAGGUUCGGAAUAACUCCCCGAAAGAGGUGCUAAUACCGGAGAAUGUCUUCGGACCAAAGAUUUAUCGCCUUUGGAUGGGCCCGCGUUGGAUUAGCUAGUUGGUAGGGUAAAAGCCUACCAAGGCGACGAUCCAUAGCUGGUCUGAGAGGAUGAUCAGCCACACUGGGACUGAGACACGGCCCAGACGCCUACGGGAGGCAGCAGUGGGGAAUAUUGGACAAUGGGCGAAAGCCUGAUCCAGCAAUGCCGCGUGAGUGAUGAAGGCCUUAGGGUUGUAAAGCUCUUUUACCCGGGAUGAUAAUGACAGUACCGGGAGAAUAAGCGCCGGCUAACUCCGUG